UAACUCACCAAAGUGGUGGUCGAAGCGCC
rnacentral:piRNA from 1 species